rnacentral:RNase_P_RNA from 1 species
AGAACAGGCAAAGAUGGUUGCUCCGGCCGAACAGGCUGGAGAGGAAAGUCCGAGCUCCAGAGGGAAACGUAAGAGGUAAUACCUCUCUUUCGGAUUUUAUUCCGAAACGGAUUGGGUUCGUCAGAAAUUGAUGAACUUGUUCGCCCUAGGCGGAAGAGCCACAGAGACGAGUAAGCUCAUAUUCAGUUCGCUGACUAUGAGUUGAUGUGAAACGCGGCAAUCUCUACGUGGAGCAAGGUCAUAUAGGCCCAUUACUUGGAAUCUCCCGUUCCAGUUAGUUUGACUAUGGAUGGGUGGGUAGACCGCUAGAGUCGCUAGAGUAAUCUAGCAGACAAGAUGAAUGACCAUCAAAAUCAUACAGAACUCGGCUUAUUUGCCUGUUCCUAAU